UUUGAGAUUUACUGAGGCGCUGUGUCUGAUGUUUUCCCUCUACUACAUACUGAACAUCAGUUACCCUGUAGAACUGGGGGCCACGCUAGAAUUCCUGCAAAGGUGCAUCUUCAGGAUAAAUCCUCACAAAGGUACCAAGGUGGAAAAGAGAGAGAAAAAGCGAGUGUACGCUGUCAACCCAAAAGUAUUGAGUCUCACAUCAAAAAUUGCUGCAUUUGACUGGGGAGACUAACAGAUGCAGCCAUCCAGAAAUGUGACUUCUCAACAGUACAGAACAAACUUUUCGUACUGUAACGCAUGCCUAAGUUCAUUCAAAGUCUGUUUUAUUUUCCAAGGACAUUUUCUGUAUUAUUAAUAUUCAGGCCCAACAGGGUUUUUUGUUUGUUUGUUUGUUUGUUUGUUUUUUUAGAUGUACAUCAUACCACUUGGUCAGAUUUUACAACGUCACGGUCUUAACUAUCAUUUUUACGCUGAUGACAUUCAAUUAUACUCAAUCUGCACACCUACUCUACCUCCCCAAACAGACAAAAUCUCUGCUUGUGUUAAAGAAAUAAAAAAUUGGCUUAAUUCAAAUUUUCUAAAACUCAACAUGGACAAAACUGAGAUUAUUUUCAUUGGAACUCCCUCACUUACUAGCCAUAUUUCUACAAAUCUCACCUGUUAAAUUGAUGGUUUUCAUAUCAAAACAUCCAAUACUGUUAAAAAUUUAGGUGUAAUCAUUGACUCCACCCUUUCCUUUCAGUCUCAUAUUACCUCUAUUACCAAAUCUGCAUUCUUUCACCUACGUCGCAUUGCCCAACUCCGUCCCUUCAUCAGUA